CGUGGGUAACCUGCCCAUAAGAGGGGGAUAACAUUCGGAAACGGAUGCUAAUACCGCAUAUUUUUAAUCCUCUCCUGACGAAUGGAAGAAAGGUGGCUUCGGCUACCGCUUAUGGAUGGACCCGCGGCGUAUUAGCUAGUUGGUGAGGUAAUGGCUCACCAAGGCGAUGAUACGUAGCCGACCUGAGAGGGUGAUCGGCCACACUGGGACUGAGACACGGCCCAGACUCCUACGGGAGACAGCAGUAGGGAAUGUUCCGCAAUGGACUAAAGUCUGACGGAGCAAUGCCGCGUGAGUGAAGAAGGUUUUCGGAUCGUAAAACUCUGUUGUUAGAGAAGAACAAGGAUGAGAGUAACUGCUCAUCCCCUGACGGUAUCUAACCAGAAAGCCACGGCUAACUACGUGCCAGCAGCCGCGGUAAUACGUAGGUGGCAAGCGUUGUCCGGAUUUAUUGGGCGUAAAGCGAGCGCAGGCGGUU
rnacentral:rRNA from 1 species